UACGGAGGGAGCUAGCGUUGUUCGGAAUUACUGGGCGUAAAGCGCGCGUAGGCGGCUUUGUAAGUUAGAGGUGAAAGCCCGGAGCUCAACUCCGGAACUGCCUUUAAAACUGCAUCGCUUGAAUCCAGGAGAGGUGAGUGGAAUUCCGAGUGUAGAGGUGAAAUUCGUAGAUAUUCGGAAGAACACCAGUGGCGAAGGCGGCUCACUGGACUGGUAUUGACGCGUG
rnacentral:rRNA from 1 species